AUACUUACCUGGCAGGGGAGACACCAUGAUCAGGCAGGUGGUUUUCCCAGGGCGAGGCUCAUCCCCUGCACAAUUUUUUUUUUUUUGUUGCAUUGCUGGAGCAUG
rnacentral:snRNA from 8 species